UACAGAGGUCCCAAGCGUUGUUCGGAUUCAUUGGGCGUAAAGGGUGCGUAGGUGGCGCCGUAAGUCGGGUGUGAAAUUUCGGAGCUUAACUCCGAAACUGCAUUCGAUACUGCGGUGCUUGAGGACUGGAGAGGAGACUGGAAUUCGAUGGUGUAGCAGUGAAAUGCGUAGAGAUCAUGAGGAAGACCAGUGGCGAAGGCGGGUCUCUGGACAGUUCCUGACACUGAGGCACGAAGGCCAGGGAGCAAACGGG
rnacentral:rRNA from 1 species